rnacentral:rRNA from 1 species
UGAGGAACAUGACCUUCGGCGGGGGAUAGCCGGCCCAACGGCCGGGUAAUACCGCGUACGACCACAUGGGGACAUCCCUGAGUGGUGAAAGCAGCAAUGCGCCGAUGGAGUGCCUCGCGGCCUAUCAGCUAGUUGGUGAGGUAACGGCUCACCAAGGCGACGACGGGUAGCUGGUCUGAGAGGAUGGCCAGCCACAUUGGGACUGAGACACGGCCCAGACCUCUACGGGGAG